AUUGAACGCUGGCGGCAGGCCUAACACAUGCAAGUCGAGCGAGCGGAGGACGGGUGAGUAAUGUAUGGGGAUCUGCCUGAUGGCGGGGGAUAACUGCUGGAAACGGUCGCUAAUACGGGAUACCAUCAGCUGAACCCAUAUGGGAUGAGCUAGUAGGUGUGGUAACGGCUUACCUAGGCGACGAUCCCUAGCUGGUCUGAGAGGAUGAUCAGCCACACUGGGACUGAGACACGGCCCAGACUCCUACGCGAGGCAGCAGUGGGGAAUCUUGCACAAUGGGCGCAAGCCUGAUGCAGCAAUGCCGCGUGUAUGAAGAAGGCCUUCGGGUUGUAAAGUACUUUCAGUCGGGAGGCGUUACCGACAGAAGAAGCACCGGCUAAAUCCGUGCCAGCAGCCGCGGUAAUUC
rnacentral:rRNA from 1 species